GAUGAACGCUGGCGGCGUGCCUAAUACAUGCAAGUCGAGCGAACGGACGAGAAGCUUGCUUCUCUGAUGUUAGCGGCGGACGGGUGAGUAACACGUGGAUAACCUACCUAUAAGACUGGGAUAACUUCGGGAAACCGGAGCUAAUACCGGAUAAUAUUUUGAACCGCAUGGUUCAAAAGUGAAAGACGGUCUUGCUGUCACUUAUAGAUGGAUCCGCGCUGCAUUAGCUAGUUGGUCAGGUAACGGCUUACCAAGGCAACGAUGCAUAGCCGACCUGAGAGGGGGGUCGGCCACACUGGAGGUGCGCCGCGCUCCAGACUCCUACGGGACGCAGCAGUAGGGAACCGUCCGCAAUGGGCGAGAGCCUGGCGGAGCGACGCCGCGUGAGUGAUGAAGGUCUUCGGAUCGUAAAGCUCUGUUAUUAGGGAAGAACAUCUGUGUAAGUAAAUGUGCACAUCUUGACGGUACCGAAUAAGAAAGCCCCGGCUAACUACGUG
rnacentral:rRNA from 1 species